UGCCGGCUCUGGUCCUGCGCCAGAGCUGACAUCCAGCAGACUUUGCUCUCCGGUGCCAGCAGCUGAGCGGCAAGGAGCGCUCCGGGACCCGGCUCGCCCAGCCUGCGGCGUUCUGGGCUGCGAGCUGCCCGGUGGAAGUCACGGCUGAGGAGAGCUCCUGUAAACAGCCUUACCUGCUCCUCACUGCCUGCCAAGUGUCGAGUGCUACUCGGUAAAACCCUCUUCCCAGAGAGCCUCCGGUCUGUUUCCUUGCAUAGCCGAUGCAUUGGGGAAUAUUUGUACAAGUGAUGGUUAUUCCUGCACCUCCUCAGAUGCCCUCUCCUCUCCUGCCUUCCAGAGCAUUGCUCUUUGCAUCUCAGUGGAUUUAUUCUCCUCCUUAUCUAAUUUUAAUUAAAGCUCCUAUCUCCCCCCACCACAUAAUCAACUGAAGAAAAAUGAGCUGGAGCAGCAUUAAAGUUUUAUCUGCUAAAUAAAUAUUGCCAGGCUAAGCUAAUAUACAAAGCAGGUCUGGAAAAAUUACAACCAUGAAGAAGGCACAGAAUCCAGCUGAAGAGCUCUGCUGUUCAACGGGAUGAUGAUCAACACUGGAGCUACAGCAGCAGCUCAAGGGACUCCAGCCCUGCUGGAGCAGGACAGGACCCAGUGGCAGCCUGACAUUGCCCCAGAGGCUUCUUAACUCCUGGAUAACUUCAUCCUCAGCUGCUGAAGGUAAUGGGAGGUGGACCAGUCCUUCAAGUAACUUCACCUAAAUAAUUCCUGAGUAGGCUUUAAGCUCUGCAGCAAUUUGAAAACUGAAUCCAGGAAAACAGUCACUCCAGAAAGCAAAAUCACUCCCAGUUUUCCUUUCAGACUGGCUCUGCUGCCCUUUUUACCCUGAAACACCACCCUCUACAGAGCCACAGCAGUAUUUACUGACACGAGAUAUGCAUGGGAGUUCACAGAAUCAUGGAAUCUCCUGCAUUGGAAGAGACCCACAAGCAUCAAGUCCAUCUCCUGACCCUGCACAGGACAGCCCCAGAAUCACAGAGUGUUCCUGAGAGCAUUAUUCAAAUGCUUCUUGAGCCCUGUCAGGCUUGGUGCUGUGACCAUUUCCCUGAGGAACCUGUUCCGGUGCCCAGCUCCCCUCUGGGUUUGGGAAGCCCACUUGGAGUCCUGCAGCACCUCUCUGCAGCCCUGCCUCACCUGUGGGGAGCUAAUCCAGCUGCUGGGAGUCUGGCAGAGGGCAGGACUGAUCCUGUGCGACACAAAUGCAUUUCUGUGCUUGGACUCUGAAGGACAGCUCUCCUGGCUGGGUUAAGACUGUGCUGCCAGCAGUAGGAGAGUGAGCAGGCUAGCCAGCCACAUAUACUGGGUUAUGUUUCUGGGCUAAACUCCAGAGCCUUCAAUUUUAUUAUCUAAUUACCCAACCAAACUCAUUCAUCUUUAUUUUUCAGUCUUUCCCACAGAUCCCAGUUAAAAUGCAGCUUUGCUAUCUGAAGUGCUGCCCAGGCACUCUCUGCUUGGAAAAAUUCAUGGUUUCUCAGCUUUAUUCACUCAGACUGUGUUUUCUUAGUGUAAAGGAUGAAUGGCAGAAAUCCCAGCCCUGAUCAGCAGCAGAGGUCUACAUCAGGCUGUGCUGAGAGGAAGGUGGCUGCAUUGUCACGGGCAGCUGUACCAGGGGAAGCAAGAGAAAGAAAAUAAGCCUCUGCUUAAAUGUAGGCUUCAUCCCCAGUGUGACAUGUCAUUAGAUUGCACUCAGGGCUUUGUGGCAUGGCUCACUGCAAUGUCUUCAUUGCAAAGUAUAAACACCAAGAGUUAGUAAAUAAAAGCAACAGGGGGAAAAACUGCUCUCUAGAAAUUAAUGAAACAUCAGGAAUACAUCCCUGGACAAUGGAGUCCAAGGGGGAAAAAUACUGGUGUCCCAUCCUUUUUCUCUGCAGGACAUGAGCCCUCCUCUCCAUAUGUUACUGUCGUGUAGAUGUAAUCCGUGUCCCAUGCUGGGGCAGAGGCUCCUGCUUAGCAUAACCCUGCCCCUGGGAGGGGCUUAUCUUGAAAAUAUACUGUCUUUUCUGUGCUCCUUGCCUUUAUUUCCUAAGGGAAUGCACAUGCUGGCAGGUUCAGGGGGCAUUCAGAUACGGUAAAUGCUACAAAGCAGAAAAGCUUCCCGCAGACCUCACAGUAUUUCUGUUUGCUCUCCAGGUGGCAAGGACUGGGCAGGGGGAGAGAGGGGAGAGGUGGCAGAUGCUGUGGAGCAUGAGGCUGCUGUCUUGCCAGCUUGCUUUGGUCUGAGGGAGGAGACGUGGGAGGGAAGCCCUCAUGCAGCUUUUCUCCCUCUGAGACCCCUUGCAGACAGAGUCCUCCUGGUGCUGCUUCCCAGCCCCAGCAGGAAACCCACUGGAUUUGGGGGGCUGUGCCUCAUGGAGGGCUGGGGCAGAGGCACAGAUGCUUUUGUUCAGUCUGCCCUCCUGCCCAUCAGCAGCCAGCAGAGCCAGGAUGAGCACAGCAGGAACAUGCAGGAAAUGUUGGUACUGUGCUGUGCCCAGCUGUGCCAUGCAAAGAGAGCAGGACCUGCUCAGCAGGGCAGUGAAGCUGAAGAAGUUCCUGUGUUGCAGCCCAGGCAGGUGUGUGAUGGGAAGGACAAGUCGAAAUUCAUGGUGAAGGAAGGAACCUUCUGGAGCAGAGCGUAGCAAGACACCGAGUACACCAAGCGGAAGGGAAAAUGGAGAUGGGUUUGGUCAGGGGAAGGGAAUGAGCAUUGUCAGGGAGAGCUACUGCCUGUGGUGAUGGAGUGCUGAACCCUCAGAGUGCCUGGUAAAAUCCCAUCCAGCUCCUAGGGAGUGCUGUGCUCUUGCAGGCUUCACUCAUGGACUCCUUCACAUGAGGCCACAAUUCCACUCAUCCUGCACCCCUGGUGGCACCUCUGGUACUUCUCACGUUAGCUCUACCUGCUCGGCUUUCUCCAACCACACACCAGCUGACUUCAUCUUCCCAGGUGUUUCUUAUGAUCUCUCCCAUUCUAGCUUUUACCCUUGACCACAAGCAGCACUUGGAACAAUUAACACCUUGUGCUCCUACCAUCUUAUGGUUUACAAGGCAGCUGGUUACUAGGGCAACAACUGCACCUUUUUCUUUCAGUGUAUUGACUGAAAAUCAACAUUUUAUAUUAAAGGAAAAGAAAAAUAAUAUUCUCUCAAGCCACAGUGAGUUACAACACCAUCUCUCCUGUAAUCAAGAUAUUGCUGAAUUAUGGUGCUAUAAACAAACACUUCUGAUAUAACCACAAACACUGUGGGACAUGUAACACAUUGGCAGUAUAUUUCAAGUGACAAACUCAUUUAUUGUGGGGAGUGGAGGGAGAAAAACACCUUUCCAGGAGCCACAGCAAGGAAUUACAGCGAAGAAUGACCAGAGCUUAAGGGUACAGGCACAAAGUAAUUCUAACACCCUGGCUGGAAUAAAGCACUUCGAAGUAUGAACAAGAUUAGAGCAGCACCAGCAGUAC